rnacentral:rRNA from 1 species
ACUGAACGCUGGCGGCAGGCCUAACACAUGCAAGUCGGACGGUAGCACAGAGGAGCUUGCUCCUCGGGUGACGAGUGGCGGACGGGUGAGUAAUGUCUGGGAAACUGCCCGAUGGAGGGGGAUAACCACUGGAAACGGUAGCUAAUACCGCAUAACGUCGCAAGACCAAAGUGGGGGACCUUCGGGCCUCACACCAUCGGAUGUGCCCAGAUGGGAUUAGCUGGUAGGCGGGGUAACGGCCCACCUAGGCGACGAUCCCUAGCUGGUCUGAGAGGAUGACCAGCCACACUGGAACUGAGACACGGUCCAGACUCCUACGGGAGGCAGCAGUGGGGAAUAUUGCACAAUGGGCGCAAGCCUGAUGCAGCCAUGCCGCGUGUAUGAAGAAGGCCUUCGGGUUGUAAAGUACUUUCAGCGGGGAGGAAGGUGCUGAGGUUAAUAAGCUCAGCAAUUGACGUUACCCGCAGAAGAAGCACCGGCUAACUCCGUGCCAGCCGCCGCGGUAA